CUUGAGUUCGUAACGAUUCGAAGCGUCGAUGGAAAUUCCAAUUUAGCUUAUUAUUGCUGCAAAAACGUUUUAGCAAUUGAAUGGUUUAUAAUAGUGAGCAUUUCCCAAAAAGUCUGUUCACGCCAAGUAUUCUUUUGUUUCUCGACUGUCCAUUAGAAAACUGUGUUAUGUUAUCGAAAGGUGUCCCCUCCCCUUACACGUGGUUGAUACAAACGAGACAAGUAAUAACACGGUAAUAACAGAUUCCAGAUCACGUCGAUCGUUUCGCCUGCAUUGGAUAUUUUAUGUCUCCUUGCUUUUUUUGGGUGUGUGCUGUGUGAUUAAGAUAAUGCUGUGCUGUGCUGUGUCAGGCCACAGCUACACAGGCCACACACUAACACAUGGUGUUAGACAUAACCAUCGUUUAACUCAAAUCCAACAAGUCUAGUGCCUUUCAAUAGCAUGCAAAUAGUGUGGCGAUAUCUCUGAAAAAUCUAGAAAAUUCUAGUGAUGGAGAACAUGUGCUUGAUGAAAUGAUCAUUCCAUCACAGCUUCCCUUAACUGAAAUGCUGAAAGUUGGAACAACCGUUGAGGUAACACACUCAAGCUCGAUGGCCACACUGUCGCCGGACAUGAGAUCAAGGCCAAAUUAACUCAGACUUCUGCUGAAUGGAAAGUUUCUCCUAUACAGCCAAGCCCUACUUACGGCGUUAGUUUUUAUCGACACUUUUGCGAGUGCAGCGAAUAAGGGCAGUAACCAAAACUGGAUCGACGACGCAACUUAAUCCAGCGGCGGAAGCCAUUUCAUUCACCACCUGGUACGAAGAAAUAAGCCUGAUGUACAACACGAAGCCUUUCAUUGAAAAGAAAUGUUACCGUCGCAUCCGACUCGUCUGCGGAGAAAUGUUCCUUGAAGUCUAUAAUAGACGACAAUAAGAAAGGAACACGUUGAUUCAA